ensembl:lncRNA
GGGGCAUAGAGGAGCAACAAUAAAUGUACAUUAUGUGGAAAAUAAUGUUUUUAUAACGCAUAAACACAUUUCAUUACACCAAAUACACAAAACAAUGUCCUUCUUUAGCAACGCUGUAUGACCCCUUUAAUUAGUAAGGACUGUUAACUGGUAAAGACUAUUUAGAACCAAGUUAUACAUUGUCUAUAAAAACAUUAUACAUUAUCUAGAAACAUAACACAAGAGAUGGUGAACUUAAAUACAAAGUGAGAGGAACAUUCACUUUAUUUUUUUAAUCAAUAAAUAGCCUUAAAAUAAAUCUGAACAAGAUUACUUUUCUACAUGGUGAAUGCUCAUUAAAGGCUCAUUAUUAUGAUUUAUAUGGUUUAUUAAUAAAAGUGUGACUAAUGCUUAAAAUGAACAACUUCUAGUCGAGGCCAGCCCUAAUGCACAUCCAUUAAUUGUUUACGAGAAGCAUACAUAUAAGAGGCUGAAAAUUAGCUGAAUAUAUAGCCUACUUGUUUAAUUCGUGACACUUAGCCUGCAUUUUAAAAUCUUUAUUUAAAUAUGGCAACACAAUAUUGCGCUCUACAAUAUUUCUAUGAAUAAAUCUCUGACAGAGACUAUGAGCCAAUCACUGUGUGCAUAGUUUGUAAGUAUCCUGACAUCAUCCAUAGCAACGAGGUCAACCCCACCCUUACUCUUAGCUUAAGACUUCGGUCUGUUCUUUAGUAAAAGUUUGUCUCAGCAGCUUUGUGAAUAGAAAAAAAUAAAAAAUAAAAACCUCUUAGCUAAAAACUUUUACUGCUAUUUAGGAGAACUCUUAGUGGUAAGAUAAAAUGUUUUGUGAAUACGGGCCCAGGUUUGUAAAAAUCAGAUUGUAUGUACUAGACUCAUCUAGUUGUCUUUUGUUGAGGGAACAUCUCAGUUGCUUCCGCUGAAAAUCUUGUUCCUCUUUCAGGAGUCCAUUUUCUUCUUUCAGUUUUUCUAUUGUCACAACUGCCGUUGGUGCAACUUGUGGUGGACCAGAGACAGGAGGUGGCACUGAGACCGUAACACCUACUGUAGAUUUACAGUAAUGACAAAACAUUUAUCUGGUCAUUCUAGAGAUCUCAGAGUUGAUAUUGUUGCCACCACCAUGUCAUGAAGGCGCUGUGAAUCGCCGGAUCGGCUUUCACCGUGGACGAAGUGGAGUACAGCCCGGGGUCGUCACAUGUGGUUGCCGCAAGCACACCAUUCUCAAGCCCACCGGCCUCCGCUCACUCAAGCCCGCUUUGUGUGACUUUUUUUUUUUGUUGUGAAAGUGAAACUACUUUGUUUGGCCUUUCAAAAGAGGACACAACUAGAAAUCAGUGGUUAAGUUGUAUUUACAACACUGUUCCAGAACAGUUCAAACCAAAUAUACAGAUGUGUGCAGCACAUUUUAUGGAGGACUGUUUCUUGAUCCUGGGAGUGUAGCCUACAAUGCUGGCUGUUCUGACUCACAGUCUGUAAGUAUGUUUUUAUAUUUAAAGAAUUUGCUAACAAAGAGAGACAUAUAAAAUAUGCAGAGCUGGGAGGCGCGAGGACUGGAAUUGAGAACCGCUGUCCUAACACAACAACCAGUGGAAACCAGUGGAAGAUUAAGACAGCACUACCCAAGUGGAAAUUAAGUACAGUAAGAUUACAUUAAGCUCAUAAUCUCACAUAGGAUGACAAGAAACCACUUAACCUGCCAUUUCUGCAAAAAAACAACAAUUCGGAACACUAAUUUCCAAAACUUAACUAUGUAGGCUGCUGGUCAGCAAAUAUGUGCAGUACGUAAACACAACGCACUCAUUUAUUCUAAUAUCAGACUCCGUUAAGCAUUGUUGCUUUACUUUCCUAUUGGAGGGACACUGUGCAUACUGCAUUAGGUUAACUGACACUCGUCACAGCAUUUACAUAUCAUUGCUCUUUUGUUGAUUUUUAUUGCUUCUGUUGUCCUCAUUUGUAAGUCGCUUUGGAUAAAAGCUUCUGCUAAAUACCUAAAUAUAAAUUCAAGUAAUUGGAUGUUUAUUUUUGGGAAUGCAUGAAUAAAUGCAUAGUACUCAAUGGUGAAAUACCAACAUCUCAAAAAACUGAUUCUAGACUUACAACUAAAUAACAUAUAAGCAGAGGCGGACAGUAAUGAAGCAUAUUUACUUGAGUAUUGUACUUAAGUACACUUUUUGAAUAUCUGUACUUUAUUUGUGUAUUAUUCCUCGGCAGGGACAGGAGGCUUUUCUGUGUGGAGUUUUUCAUAUUUUUCCUGUGCCAGCAUGGGUUUAUGCCGGGUACUCCUGUUUCCUCUCCCACAUCCCAAAGACAUGCAGGUCAGGUGAAUUGAAGAGUCUUAUUCGUCCCUCCCAACUUCUGUGUAAGACCAACUUGUGUAUGAAUCAACUGGUUCUCGCCAUGAGCAUAGCCAUAGAUGCUGGAAUGGCGUUAAGAAGAAAAUAAAAAACAAACAAACUUGAGUAUUCAUUUUUUCUGGAAACGUAUGACUUUAUUUUCACUACAUUUGAAAGACAACUAUCAUGCUUUUCACUCCACUACAUUUCUAUCAAGGUACUUGAAGUAGAAAGUUAUUACUAUGUAGCAGUUUUGAAAGUCAGUGGGUUAUUAUUUCUGGGUUCUAAGACUUUUUUUUGGACCGCUAAUCAGUAAUAACUCUUCUAGGGUUACGUGAAGUAAUUUCCCAGCAUUUUUUGAACCCUGACCAGUUGCAAAUGUGAUAUUUACUGUAAGUCAAUAAGAAUAAGUUAAUAUUGUGCUAUAUAUAAGACACAAUAUUGUGUGAUUUAGCUAAAUUGUGUAAACGAAAAUAUUACCUAUAAAGCCACAACUGUUGCAUCAGGGCCAUGCAGAGACUUUUGGUGGGGCAGGUGCUCAAAUGACAUGGCUUUAAAAAGGGCUGUGCUCCUUGCUGAUAUGUGUAUCGAAACGGAUGCUUCUAUUGAUACAGCAGCAAAUGCCGUGACACAGUUUUGAAAAAGAAACACAGAACAGAAAUACCAUUUUAAGUUUUAAAGUUAAAUAUUUUUUUAAUUACUCUGAACCUUUUAAUUACUCUGAAAUUAAUUAUAUUAUUGAUAUUAUUAUUAUUAAUAAUAAUGAGUUUACAGUGUAUGGUGGUUUUGAUGUUGUAAACACUACUGUUGUUGUUGUACAUGUGUGCACACACUGCCAGAGCUGUGGGAGAUCACUACCAUGCUACUUUGUGGGGGUGGGUA